rnacentral:rRNA from 1 species
AUUGAACGCUGGCGGCAGGCCUAACACAUGCAAGUCGAACGAUUGGCGGACGGGUGAGUAAGGUCUGGGAAACUGCCCGAUGGAGGGGGAUAACUACUGGAAACGGUAGCUAAUACCGCAUACCAUCGGAUGUGCCAAGAUGGGAUUAGCUAGUAGGGGGGGUAACGGCGCACCUAGGCGACGAUCCCUAGCUGUGCUGAGAGGAUGACCAGCCACACUGGAACUGAGACACGUGCCAGACUCCUACGGUAGGCAGCAGUGGGGAAUAUUGCACAAUGGGCGCAAGCCUGAUGCAGCCAUGCCGCGUGUAUGAAGAAGGCCUUCGGGUUGUAAAGUCCUUUCAGCGAGGAGGCGUUACUCGCAGAAGAAGCACCGGCUAACUCCGUGCCAGCAGCCGCGGUAAUUC